UGCAGUCGAGCGGACUAAUGGGAGCUUGCUCCCGUUAGUUAGCGGCGGACGGGUGAGUAACACGUGGGCAACCUACCUGUAAGACUGGGAUAACUUCGGGAAACCGGAGCUAAUACCGGAUGACAUAAAGGAACUCCUGUUCCUUUAUUGAAAGAUGGCUUCGGCUAUCACUUACAGAUGGGCCCGCGGCGCAUUAGCUAGUUGGUGAGGUAACGGCUCACCAAGGCGACGAUGCGUAGCCGACCUGAGAGGGUGAUCGGCCACACUGGGACUGAGACACGGCCCAGACUCCUACGGGAGGCAGCAGUAGGGAAUCUUCCGCAAUGGACGAAAGUCUGACGGAGCAACGCCGCGUGAGCGAUGAAGGCCUUCGGGUCGUAAAGCUCUGUUGUUAGGGAAGAACAAGUGCUAGUUGAAUAAGCUGGCACCUUGACGGUACCUAACCAGAAAGCCACGGCUAACUACGUGCCAGCAGCCGCGGUAAUACGUAGGUGGCAAGCGUUGUCCGGAAUUAUUGGGCGUAAAGCGCGCGCAGGCGGUUUCUUAAGUCUGAUGUGAAAGCCCCCGGCUCAACCGGGGAGGGUCAUUGGAAACUGGGGAAACUUGAGUGCAGAAGAUGAAAGUGGAAUUCCAAGUGUAGCGGUGAAAUGCGUAGAGAUUUGGAGGAACACCAGU
rnacentral:rRNA from 1 species